UCAUGCUCUGCUUCUUGGCCUCGCCGAUGG
rnacentral:sRNA from 1 species